rnacentral:rRNA from 1 species
AGUUAGGAAAUGUAGGUGCGAUAAUACCGUGCCUAUUUGACAAAGGCUCCAAAGGAAGCCACGGCUAACUCUGUGCCAGCAGCCGCGGUAAUACAGAGGUGGCAAGCGUUGUUCGGAAUUAUUGGGCGUAAAGAGCACGUAGGUGGAUUUGUUAGUCAGAUGUGAAAGCCUUUUGUUCAACGGAAGAAUUGCAUCUGGAACUACAAACCUUGAGUAUAGGAGGGGAGAGUGGAACUUCUGGU